rnacentral:lncRNA from 1 species
GGAAAACAACAAGUGCAGACUUGGAGCGAGGGAGAAUAGAACCCGGAAGUUAAGCGUGCUUGGGCUGGAGUAGUGAGAGGGAUGGGUGACCGAUCGGGAAGUUAGAUGAUUUGGAAUGAUGAGGGGUGAUUAAAGGAUAAAUUGAGAAGUGAUGAGGGGUGGUGAUUACAGACUAGAGGUUAAAAUAAUUCAGAAAUUUGAAAAUAAAAAAAUCCAAAAAAAAAUUCAAAAAAAAAUCAUAAAAUUUCCUUUAGUCCCGGUUAGUGUUACCAACCAGGACUAAAGGUGGAGCUCCACGUGGCUGCGCCCUUUAGUCCUGGUUUUGGAUUGAACCGGAACUAAAGGAGGGAGGUAUUAGUACCGACACUUUAGUCCCGGUUCAAGAAUUCAAAAAUUGAGAAGUGAUGAGGGGUGGUGAUUACAGACUAGAGGUUAAAAUAAUUCAGAAAUUUGAAAAUAAAAAAAUCCAAAAAAAAAUUCAAAAAAAAAUCAUAAAAUUUCCUUUAGUCCCGGUUAGUGUUACCAACCAGGACUAAAGGUGGAGCUCCACGUGGCUGCGCCCUUUAGUCCUGGUUUUGGAUUGAACCGGAACUAAAGGAGGGAGGUAUUAGUACCGACACUUUAGUCCCGGUUCAAGAAUUCAAAAAUUGAGAAGUGAUGAGGGGUGGUGAUUACAGACUAGAGGUUAAAAUAAUUCAGAAAUUUGAAAAUAAAAAAAUCCAAAAAAAAAUUCAAAAAAAAA